GGUGGCGCUGCUGAGGGCGCUGGGGUGGCUGCGGGAGCAGGGACAGCAGUAAAGGACAUUGGUGACACUGAUGGUGGCACUGGGGUGACACUGAUGUGACAUUGAUGGUGGCACUGGGGUGACAUUGGUGGUGGCACUGGGGUGACAUUGAUGGUGGCAGUGGGGUGACAUUGGUGACAUUGAUAGUAACACUGGGGUGACAUUGAUGUGACAUUGGUGGUGGCACUGGGGUGACAUUGGUGACACUGAUGGUGACACUGGGGUGACAUUGGUGACAUUGAUGGUGACACUGGGGUGACAUUGAUGUGACAUUGAUGGUGACACUGGGGUGGCUGCGGGAGCAGGGACAGCAGUAAAGGACAUUGGUGACACUGAGGUGACAUUUGGUGACAUUGGUGACAUUGGUGGUGGCACUGGGGUGGCUGCGGGAGCAGGGACAGCAGUAAAGGACAUUGGUGACACUGAGGUGACAUUGAUGGUGGCACUGAGGUGACAUUGGUGGCAUUGGUGACAUUGAUGGUGGCACUGGGGUGGCUGCGGGAGCAGGGACAGCAGUAAAGGACAUUGGUGACAUUG